AGGUUUCGGCCAAUAGAUUGGGUUACUUAGUGGCGGACUGGUGAGUAACGCGUGAGGAACCUGCCUUUCAGAGGGGGACAACAGUUGGAAACGACUGCUAAUACCGCAUGACACAUUGAAGGGGCAUCCCUUUGAUGUCAAAGAUUUAUCGCUGAAAGAUGGCCUCGCGUCUGAUUAGCUGGUUGGUGAGGUAACGGCCCACCAAGGCGACGAUCAGUAGCCGGACUGAGAGGUUGACCGGCCACAUUGGGACUGAGAUACGGCCCAGACUCC
rnacentral:rRNA from 1 species